AUUGAACGCUGGCGGCAUGCCUUACACAUGCAAGUCGAACGGUAACAGGUCUUCGGAUGCUGACGAGUGGCGGACGGGUGAGUAAUACAUCGGAACGUGCCCAGACGUGGGGGAUAACGAGGCGAAAGCUUUGCUAAUACCGCAUACGAUCUAAGGAUGAAAGCAGGGGACCGCAAGGCCUUGUGCGGUUGGAGCGGCCGAUGGCGGAUUAGGUAGUUGGUGGGAUAAAAGCUUACCAAGCCGACGAUCUGUAGCUGGUCUGAGAGGACGACCAGCCACACUGGAACUGAGACACGGCCCAGACUCCUACGGGAGGCAGCAGUGGGGAAUUUUGGACAAUGGGCGAAAGCCUGAUCCAGCAAUGCCGCGUGCAGGAUGAAGGCCUUCGGGUUGUAAACUGCUUUUGUACGGAACGAAAAGGCUCUGGCUAAUACCUGGGGCACAUGACGGUACCGUAAGAAUAAGCACCGGCUAACUACGUG
rnacentral:rRNA from 1 species